GCCAGCGGUUCGGCCGGGCACUCUAACGGGACUGCCCGCGAAAGCGGGAGGAAGAGGGGACGACGUCUGGUCAGCAUGGCCCUUACGGCCUGGGCGACACACGUGCUACAAUGCCCACUACAAAGCGAUGCACCCGGCAACGGGGAGCUAAUCGCAAAAAGGUGGGCCCAGUUCGGAUUGGGGUCUGCAACCCGACCCCAUGAAGCCGGAAUCGCUAGUAAUCGCGGAUCAGCCAUGCCGCGGUGAAUACGUUCCCGGGCCUU
rnacentral:rRNA from 1 species